rnacentral:lncRNA from 12 species
CGUUUUCCUACCUGCCCCAUAGUUUAACAGAACUGCUCCUGCCCACAAAGUUCUGCUCCCAGGAGGCUCUGUGAAUUUGAUCUCGGGACCAGGGGCAGAAAAAUUGGACUCAUCCUUCCACUAAGGAAUGUGAAGACUUCCUUCAGGAGUUCAAACUGCUUCUAAGUUGUCUCCAUUGGGGAAGUCAGCUGUGAAGAUAACUCAGCAGAAGCAAAGGCUAAAGGAAAACAAAGACUAAUUCCAGUAUUUUCUCUGAGUGUAAGGAAAAAAGACCUGAAAAAAACCCAAUGACUGACCGAGUAGGAAUGAAUGGAAAGUAAGUUCUGGCACUCCAGCUUCAUGGAAUGCAAGGGUAAAAUAAUACGUGCCUAUGAUCAGGGAUGGAAGGGAAGAGAGAAUGACAGCAAUUGCAUCUUGGUGAGGUGAUAAAUGAUCCUCCUCCUUUCUUAAGCCUUUAAAAAUAUAUACAUUGUUUUGAGUGUGUGUUUCAAUGAAAAGAAAGAAGAUUUACAUUUCUGCUCAUCUCCAUAAAUAAAAAUCUUCUAAAUGUGAGAUCCUGUGAAAUU